CAGGAGACGAAGGAAGGAAAUGAGCAAACUCACUACUGUGUUGCUCCUUCUUCAAGUUUUGACUUCCUUCCGCAAAUCCCCUGCUCUUGUUUACUUUUCAGAGUCCUCGGGUAUUUUGUAUUCUGUCCAGAGUCUUUAGCCGUAAUUAAUGGGACGAAUAAGCUAAAGUGGGCUCACUCCAUCUUUGCUGGCAUCUGAAGCUUGGGAUUUGUUUUGAAUCAGCCUUCAACCCAGCCACACUACCCAGUACCUGCUGGUUCCCCGGCUCCUUCCUCUCCUCUUUACCUUCCACUGUGAUGAAGCGGCCCAUUGACUUCUAGGCACUUGACUUAUCUGCUUAGUGUCUUGGCCUUCGCUGGCAUUCUCCCUCCUGUGGGACAGCUCUUCAAACUCCCUCUCCAGGAGAGCCCAUCGUGAGUCAGACUUAGUGGCCAUAAAAGACGAGACAGGACAGGGUGAGGGCUAAGGGAACGAACCCGGACAUCGAGGUGGCUCAAAGUGCACUGGAGAUUUUAACCCUGAAGAUCUCUCCAGACUGUUUAGAAUGAGAGGUGCUGGAGGAUAACCCCCUGCCCAAAAUGGCCUGAACCAUGGCUGUGGAGAAGACAGCGUCCUGUUUCUUGCUGACUGGAGGGUGUCUCUGCAGCAGAACAGAAAGAACGUCAGCGGAACAGAAAGGAGUCCCUGCUUUCAGAGGUGGCACAAAGCUCCAGAAUCACCACGGGCUUUGUGCUGGGUCAGCUGGCACCCAC